UACGUAGGGUGCAAGCGUUAAUCGGAAUUACUGGGCGUAAAGCAUGCGCAGGCGGCUUUGCAAGACAGAUGUGAAAUCCCCGGGCUUAACCUGGGAACUGCAUUUGUGACUGCAUGGCUAGAGUGCGGCAGAGGGGGAUGGAAUUCCGCGUGUAGCAGUGAAAUGCGUAGAUAUGCGGAGGAACACCGAUGGCGAAGGCAAUCCCCUGGGCCUGCACUGACGCUCAUGCACGAAAGCGUGGGGAGCAAACAGG
rnacentral:rRNA from 1 species